ACGAACGCUGGCGGCGUGCUUAACACAUGCAAGUCGAACGGAAAGGCCCCUUUGGGGGUACUCGAGUGGCGAACGGGUGAGUAACACGUGGGUAACCUGCCCUUGACUUCGGGAUAACUUCAGGAAACUGGGGCUAAUACCGGAUAGGAAUCCUUGCUGCAUGGUGGGGGUUGGAAAGCUUCGGCGGUUUUGGAUGGACUCGCGGCUUAUCAGCUUGUUGGUGGGGUAGUGGCUUACCAAGGCUUUGACGGGUAGCCGGCCUGAGAGGGCGACCGGCCACAUUGGGACUGAGAUACGGCCCAGACUCCUACGGGAGGCAGCAGUGGGGAAUAUUGCACAAUGGGCGGAAGCCUGAUGCAGCAACGCCGCGUGCGGGAUGACGGCCUUCGGGUUGUAAACCGCUUUCAGCAGGGGCGAAGCUUGUGGUGACGGUACCUGCAGAAGAAGCACCGGCUAACUACGUG
rnacentral:rRNA from 1 species